CUUUGCAGCAGCAGAAAUUGUAUUUCUUCAGUGGAAAAUCGUUUGCUGAAAGUGCAGGAGGUUUUUGUACGGCCUCUCAAUGAGUUUGUAUCACUGUGGUACACUUUUGGUGGAGGAACCAAACUCAUCCUUAACUCCGGCCCCACGGUCAGACCCUCGGUCUCUCUGCUGCCCCCCUCCUCCCAGCAGCUCUCCGGCGGCUCGGCCACGCUGCUCUGCCUGCUGAGCGGCUACUCUCCUCAGGGAGCCCGGGUGAGCUGGGAGGUGGACGGCACGGCGGUGACAGAGGGGGUCCUGAGCAGCUCAGAGGAGGAGAAGAGCGGACGCUACGGCAGCAGCAGCACCCUGAGCCUGAGCCAGGAGACGUGGAUGAAAGGGGAGCUGUACUCCUGCAGGGUGGAGCAUCAGGGCCACAGCCAGGUCCAGAGCAUCUCAAGGAGCCAGUGUGAGGGCCAGAGAGGCUGAGAGCAGGAGCUCUGAGUGGGAGAGCAGCAGGAAAAACAGCUGCUGCUCUCAGCAAUAGGAGUCUGGAGGAAGACAAACUAAAGCUUGUGUGACGCUGAACUAAACUGCUGAGAAAAGUUUAACAACUUAGAUUAAUGUGUGAAGCUGAUGUGAGUGGGAUUCACUUGCUGUGUGUUUUAAUAAAGCUUGC